rnacentral:rRNA from 1 species
UACGAAGGGGGCUAGCGUUGUUCGGAAUUACUGGGCGUAAAGCGCGCGCAGGCGGCUAUCCAAGUCAGUGGUGAAAGCCCGGAGCUCAACUCCGGAACUGCCAUUGAAACUGUUUAGCUUGAGUAUGAGAGAGGUGAGUGGAAUUCCCAGUGUAGAGGUGAAAUUCGUAGAUAUUGGGAAGAACACCGGUGGCGAAGGCGGCUCACUGGCUCAUUACUGACGCUCAGGCGCGAUAGCGUGGGGAUCAAGCAGG